CUCACCACAGGGUGGCGCUGAUGCUCUGCCUCCCCUACGUUUUUCUCUUCUUAGGUCCCUUUGCAGCGGAUCAGAUUAUGUCCGGUCUCUGUGCCCAUUGAUGCAGUCUGAGUAGCAGGAGCCCUUCAGCCCCACGGUGACAUGGGCUGUUACGUGUUUGAAUGAUUAAUCCUUCCUCUUCCUAUUCCAGGCCAGAAGGGCUGAGGUGCUGUUUCCCGAGGAGCUGUUCCAGGACUAGCGAGGAGCCUUUCCAAGCGUCACAGAAGGACGGGCCAGAGUUAACAUGGCAUCGAGUUGUUUGUUGCAUAAUAAAGCUGCUGCUGAUUUCCAA